GUCCCUGUGGCGUAGUGGCAGUGCGCUUUGCUCUUGUGUAUGGGGCAACUUGUGUAUGUCCCAUGUACAAGUUGUCCUAUACAGUGUCGGAGAGGUCAGGGGUUUAACUCCUCCUGGGGGCA